ensembl:lncRNA ATXN8OS ATXN8 opposite strand lncRNA
GACUCCACGUAGAAGAGAGUCCUGGCUGGCUGCUGAGUGCCCUGCCCAGGAGCCCCUUGCUGCAGCCUCGUGGCAACUGGAAGCAGGGUGCCAUUCAGCGGAUUGAAGGAAGAGGAGGAAGAGGACGGGGAGGACGAUGAAGAGGAAGAGGAGGAAGGCUUCUUCCAGAAAGUGCUCACACCGCUUCUCUCUUGGCUUUUGAGCAGGCGACUCUGGCUGGGUCCCCAGUGCUCAAAGCUGCCACUGCCGUCCUGUUGCAGGCAGCCUCCCCCCGCCGGGCCGCCGGUGGAAGGAGACGGGUGGCUGAAGAGUUUCCAGCGGAGUCGCAGAAUGUGCUUCACAUCGAAGUCUUUUCGCCCAGAGCCUGACAUGCUUUACGCACAGAAGGCAAAAGGCUGGCAGCUCACGCAGGAUUCUGGAGGCUGGGAAGUUCAAGACCAAUGCACGAGAAUUUGGUCUAAAGAGAAUCUUCUUGCUCUGAACACACAUAGUAGAAGGCAGAAGGGCAAGAGAGAGAACAAAGUCUGUGUCUCCACAUGGCAGAAGAGCAGAGGAGACAGAACCUACUCCUCUAUGGCAACCACCCCAUCAAUGACAAAAAUCCUAGAAGGAUGUAUGUAUAGGAAGUUGAAGUGUUGAGAAGAGAAUGGCUCAGAGUCAAGCGGGAACAAGAUUCAAACUUCAGAGAGAGAGGGAAGAAAAACAUUUAAAUAUAUCUGGCAUAAUCCAAGACUAUUUACGACAAGUGUUCUGUGUUUCUAAUAAUAAAACAGACUUCACCUCGGAGUACCUGCAGAACUGGGACCCCAAUGACCAGGGAGAAUGAAGAACAACUUGUUGAAGGUAUAGAGAAGGCAGCAAAUCAUACAAGAAGGUCCAUCCCAAACCAGAGAUAGUAUAGAUAAAUCUCUCAUGUUAACUAUGGAAAAAAUAAAGGAAGAUGACGUAUUUUAAUAGAAGGGAAAUUGCGCUUAUUGGGAGUAAGAACACUGAAUUGACUGAAUAUCUUAAAGAGAGUUAGGAAGUGAAAUUCUCAACAGGUGAUUAUUCUUUGACCAAUUUUGUCUUAUCUCUUAUCCACAUUCUUCCCUGCUCUUCCCAAUACAUGUGUAAGAAUAUCCAAGGGCACACACAUACCAUAAGCAGGAAUGGUGUCCUAAGGAAAGUCAAUAUAGAGAGUAAGAAGUAUAUCUGUCACAAUGUGUACAUGUAUACAUCCUAAAUAUUUGUACAAUUAAUUUACUUCUCUUCAUUUCCAACACUCCUAGUCUAUGCUAUGAACAUCUCUUACCUAAAAUGCUACAGAUGUCCCCUAAAUUUUUCCAUAAAUCAGUUUUUUCCUCUCCAAGCUGUAAGCAGAAAUGCAUUUUUAAAUUGCAUAUAUGACCGUGACACGUAUCUGUCUCAGUUUAUAGAACAGGUCUCUAACAGGGCCAGCAGCUUCCAGUCACUUCUGUCCCUUACCUUUUCUCCAGUCUCAUUUUACAUAUUUUUUUACAUGCUCUCUAUAUUCCUGUAAUUAAAUAUUACUUUCCCCUCAAUGCCUUUGGACUGCUUCUUUCCUCCACAUUAAAUACUUUUUACCACUUCCCUCAGUUCAGUUCAUUCUCCUCCGUGUUUAGAGCUCAGCUCAGAUAUCCUUUUCUCAUGGAGACAUUCUCUGGCCAACCCAGACUAGAUCAUUUUCCCUUGCUGUAUACUUUCAUACCUCCCUCUGUCUUUCCUUCAUAACACUUUGGUAAGUGUGUACAACUGCAUCCUUGUUUUUAUUUAAUUUCCUCUCACUGCCAUGUUCUGUAAACUCAAUGCAAGCUGAGUCUGCCUAUUUAUUUCACUAUGCGACACCUAACUCCUAACAAAGUAUUAAACAAAAUAGGUGCCAAAAUAUCUGUUAAGCCAUUGUGUGAAUGUAUAAA